GCUCAGUCCUCGCGGCGUCGGCGGUGUGGGAGUUUUGUGGCGUGUCGGGCUGAGUGCGCGUGCGCCGACAUGGCCUCAAACGACUAUACCCAGCAAGCAACCCAAAGCUACGGGGCCUACCCCACCCAGCCUGGGCAGGGCUAUUCCCAGCAGAGCAGCCAGCCCUAUGGACAGCAGAGUUACGGUGGCUACAGCCAGUCUGGGGACACCUCAGGCUAUGGCCAGAGCACCUAUGGUUCUUACGGACAGACCCAGAACACAGGCUAUGGCACCCAGUCAGCUCCCCAGGGUUAUGGCUCAACCGGUGGCUAUGGUGGUGGCCAGAGUUCUCAGUCGUCUUAUGGGCAGCAGUCCUACCCCGGCUAUGGCCAGCAGCCCGCUCCUAGCAGCACGUCGGGAAGUUACGGUAGCAGUUCUCAGAGCAGCAACUAUGGGCAGCCCCCGAGUGGGGGCUAUGGUCAGCAGUCUGGCUAUGGUGGACAGCAGCCUAGCUAUGGACAGCAGCAAAGUUCCUAUAAUCCUCCUCAGGGCUAUGGACAGCAGAACCAGUACAACAGUAGCAGUGGAGGUGGCGGAGGGGGUGGAGGAGGUAACUAUGGCCAAGAUCAGUCCUCCAUGAGUGGUGGCAGCGGCGGUUAUGGCAAUCAGGACCAAAGUGGUGGUGGUGGCUACGGGGGAGGCCAGCAGGACCGUGGGGGACGAGGCCGGGGCGGUGGCGGUGGUUACAACCGCAGCAGUGGUGGCUAUGAACCCAGAGGUCGUGGAGGCGGCCGUGGAGGCAGAGGCGGCAUGGGCGGAAGUGAUCGUGGUGGCUUCAAUAAAUUUGGUGGCCCUCGGGACCAAGGAUCUCGUCAUGACUCCGAACAGGAUAAUUCAGACAACAACACUAUCUUCGUGCAAGGCCUGGGCGAGAAUGUUACAAUCGAGUCUGUGGCUGAUUAUUUCAAGCAGAUUGGUAUUAUUAAGACAAAUAAGAAAACAGGACAGCCCAUGAUUAAUCUGUACACAGACAGGGAAACGGGCAAGCUGAAGGGAGAGGCAACGGUAUCAUUUGAUGACCCACCUUCUGCUAAAGCAGCUAUUGACUGGUUUGACGGUAAAGAAUUCUCUGGGAAUCCUAUCAAGGUUUCAUUUGCUACUCGGCGUGCAGAUUUCAAUCGAGGUGGUGGCAAUGGUCGUGGAGGCCGAGGGCGAGGAGGACCCAUGGGCCGUGGAGGCUAUGGAGGUGGUGGCAGUGGUGGCGGUGGCCGAGGAGGAUUCCCAAGUGGAGGUGGUGGCGGUGGAGGACAGCAGCGAGCUGGGGACUGGAAGUGUCCUAAUCCUACAUGCGAGAACAUGAACUUCUCUUGGAGGAAUGAAUGCAACCAGUGUAAGGCCCCUAAACCAGAUGGCCCAGGAGGGGGACCAGGAGGCUCUCACAUGGGGGGGUAGCUAUGGAGAUGAUCGUCGUGGAGGCAGAGGAGGCUAUGAUCGGGGCGGCUACCGAGGCCGAGGCGGGGACCGUGGGGGCUUCCGAGGGGGCCGGGGUGGUGGGGACAGAGGUGGCUUUGGCCCUGGCAAGAUGGACUCCAGGGGUGACCACAGACAGGAUCGCAGGGAGAGGCCAUAUUAGCCUGCCUCCUGAAGUUCUGGAACAGCUUUUCUUCUAUACCCAAGUGUGACCCUCGUUGUUUUGUAACUUUCCAACUCCUGACCCACCCAUGGGUUUUUUGUGUCGGACUAUGUAAUUGUAACCAUAUAUCUGGUUCCCAUUAAAAACCAUUUUAGUUAAAUUUU